ACUUCUGUACAUAAAGUCGGCCUUUGGCAUUCAAAUACGUCAUAGCACUUACACAAAUGAGCAAGGUACCUUACCUUUCAAGAAGGUACUCAAUACACAAGAAGGUUAAAAGUUUAAAAGUUUAAAACUUACAACGCUUUUCUCAAACGUUUAAUUUAUUUGGAAGCAAUAUGAUCAGAAGAUCGCCUACAAGAAUUGAGUUAUCUCUUGAAGAUAUCAACGAGUACCAGGCUUUGCGCCAGGCUCAGACCGAAAAAAAUGCAACAAGUACCCCUGCCUGGGCUUACAAAGUAGCUGUUACCAAUACAGCCCAAGUGCAUGAAAGAAUUGGUUUCGUACCUCAACAAAGGACUCCUUCUUAGCCUUAUAAAUAAAAUACUUUUAAUUUUUUAUUAGUAUUCAACU